AAGUCGUAACAAGGUUUCCGUAGGUGAACCUGCGGAAGGAUCAUUACCUAGAGUUGCGGGCUUUGCCUGCCAUCUCUUACCCAUGUCUUUUGAGUACCUUCGUUUCCUCGGCGGGUUCGCCCGCCGGUUGGACAACACUUAAACCCUUUGUAAUUGAAAUCAGCGUCUGAAAAACUUUAAUAGUUACAACUUUCAACAACGGAUCUCUUGGUUCUGGCAUCGAUGAAGAACGCAGCGAAAUGCGAUAAGUAGUGUGAAUUGCAGAAUUCAGUGAAUCAUCGAAUCUUUGAACGCACAUUGCGCCCCUUGGUAUUCCAUGGGGCAUGCCUGUUCGAGCGUCAUUUGUACCUUCAAGCUCUGCUUGGUGUUGGGUGUUUGUCUCGCCUUUUGCGCGCAGACUCGCCUCAAAACGAUUGGCAGCCGGCGUAUUGAUUUCGGAGCGCAGUACAUCUCGCGCUUUGCACUCACAACGACGACGUCCAAAAAGUACAUUUUUACACUCUUGACCUCGGAUCAGGUAGGGAUACCCGCUGAACUUAA
rnacentral:rRNA from 1 species